rnacentral:rRNA from 1 species
GAAUUUUGGACAACGGGCGAAAGCCUGAUCCAGCAAUGCCGCGUGCAGGAUGAAGGCCUUCGGGUUGUAAACUGCUUUUGUACGGAACGAAAAGCUUUGGGUUAAGACCCUGGAGUCAUGACGGUACCUUAAUCAUAAGCCCCGGCCAUCUACGUCCCCGCCGCCGCGGUAAUACGUAUGGUGCAAGCGUUAAUCGUAAUUACUGGGCGUAAAGGGUGCGCCGGCGGUUUUGUAAGACAGAGGUGAAAUCCCUGGGCUCAACCUGGGAACUGCCUUUGUGACUGAAAGGCUAGAGUACGGCAGAGGGGGGUGGAAUUCCGCGUGUAGCAGUGAAAUGCGUAGAUAUGCGGAGGAACACCGAUGGCGAAGGCAACCCCCUGGGCCUGUACUGACGCUAAUGCACGAAAGCGUGGGGAGCAAACA